rnacentral:rRNA from 1 species
UACGUAGGGUGCAAGCGUUAAUCGGAAUUACUGGGCGUAAAGCGUGCGCAGGCGGUUGUGCAAGACCGAUGUGAAAUCCCCGGGCUUAACCUGGGAAUGGCAUUGGUGACUGCACGGCUAGAGUGUGUCAGAGGGGGGUAGAAUUCCACGUGUAGCAGUGAAAUGCGUAGAGAUGUGGAGGAAUACCGAUGGCGAAGGCAGCCCCCUGGGAUGACACUGACACUGAGGAGCGAAAGCCAGGGGAGCAAACGGG